CAGAGAGUAGUUUAAUGAAAAUGCUAGCUUUGGGGGCUAGUGACGGAGGAUCGUAUCUUCUCUUUCUGA
rnacentral:tRNA from 2 species